rnacentral:lncRNA from 1 species
AUAUAUUUGAGCUGGAAUACUAUCCUUAGCAAACGGGCUCCGUUGCCACCCAUUUGUUUUCGAUGAUGGAACCUCCAAAUCAACGAUCGGCACCGUUGAACAUGAUCUAUACCACUUGAAGUAUCUAGAAAUCAAAUUUCAUACUUUUUCGAUAUUGUUUUCUUAUCCAUCGAGUGGACACAAAAAUGAACGGCUGAAAAUAAAUAUUCUUUAAAAAAUGAUGAUAGGAGUCUUGUAGUCAAGAUCAAGAGUAUAGAUCUUGUUUUAAAUAGUUUAAAGAAUUUUCUAACAAAAAUUCAAUUGAUUUGGAUAUCUUUACGCCGUUAAACGAGAAAACGCCUCAUAUCGACCAUUAAAAUUACAAAUUUUGAAACCCUUUGAUCAUUAGGCAAAUGAUGUCGAAAAGAUUUGAAAUUUGAUUUCUAAACACUUCAAGUGGUAUAGAUCAUGUUCAACGGUGCCGAUCGUCGAUUUGGAGGCUCUAUCAUCGAAAACAAAUGGGUGGCAACGGAGCCCGUUUGCUAUCGAUAGUAUUCUAGCCCAACUCAUGGGUGGCAACGGAGCCCGUUUGCUAUCGAUAGUAUUCUAGCCAAACUCUAUAUAUAUAAUGAUCUUGUGUGUGUGUGUGUGUGUGUAUAU